UUCGACCUCAAAUCAGGUAGGAUUACCCGCUGAACUUAAGCAUAUCAAUAAGCGGAGGAAAAG
rnacentral:rRNA from 1 species